rnacentral:misc_RNA from 1 species
UACGUAGGGGGCAAGCGUUGUCCGGAAUUAUUGGGCGUAAAGCGCGCGCAGGCGGCCGUGUAAGUCUCAUGUAUAAACCCGGGGCUCAACCGCGGGACGCAUGGGAAACUGUGCGGCUGGAGUGCAGGAGAGGAGAGCGGAAUUCCACGUGUAGCGGUGAAAUGCGUAGAGAUGUGGAGGAACACCAGUGGCGAAGGCGGCUCUCUGGCCUGUAACUGACGCUGAGGCGCGAAAGCGUGGGGAGCAAACAGG